rnacentral:tRNA from 1 species
GGGGAUUUGGCUUAGUGGUAGAGCACUUGCCUAGGAAGCGCAAGGUCCUGGGUUCAAUCCCCAGCCCCG